GUUAGUUGGUAAGGUAACGGCUUACCAAGACUACGAUGGGUAGGGGUCCUGAGAGGGAGAUCCCCCACACUGGUACUGAGACACGGACCAGACUCCUACGGGAGGCAGCAGUGAGGAAUAUUGGACAAUGGGCGCAAGCCUGAUCCAGCCAUGCCGCGUGCAGGAUGACGGUCCUAUGGAUUGUAAACUGCUUUUAUACAGGAAGAAACACUGGUUCGUGAACCAGCUUGACGGUACUGUAAGAAUAAGGAUCGGCUAACUCCGUGCCAGCAGCCGCGGUAAUACGGAGGAUCCAAGCGUUAUCCGGAAUCAUUGGGUUUAAAGGGUCCGUAGGCGGUCAGAUAAGUCAGUGGUGAAAGCCCAUCGCUCAACGGUGGAACGGCCAUUGAUACUGUCUGACUUGAAUUAUUAGGAAGUAACUAGAAUAUGUAGUGUAGCGGUGAAAUGCUUAGAGAUUACAUGGAAUACCAAUUGCGAAGGCAGGUUACUACUAAUAUAUUGACGCUGAUGGACGAAAGCGUGGGUAGCGAACAGGAUUAGAUACCCUGGUAGUCCACGCCGUAAACGAUGGAUACUAGCUGUUGGGAGCAAUCUCAGUGGCUAAGCGAAAGUGAUAAGUAUCCCACCUGGGGAGUACGAACGCAAGUUUGAAACUCAAAGGAAUUGACGGGGGCCCGCACAAGCGGUGGAGCAUGUGGUUUAAUUCGAUGAUACGCGAGGAACCUUACCAAGGCUUAAAUGUAGAUUGACCGGUUUGGAAACAGACUUUUCGCAAGACAAUUUACAAGGUGCUGCAUGGUUGUCGUCAGCUCGUGCCGUGAGGUGUCAGGUUAAGUCCUAUAACGAGCGCAACCCCUGUUGUUAGUUGCCAGCGAGUCAUGUCGGGAACUCUAACAAGACUGCCAGUGUAAACUGUGAGGAAGGUGGGGAUGACGUCAAAUCAUCACGGCCCUUACGCCUUGGGCUACACACGUGCUACAAUGGACGGUACAGAGAGCAGCCACUGGGCAACCAGGAGCGAAUC
rnacentral:rRNA from 1 species